rnacentral:rRNA from 1 species
AUUGAACGCUGGCGGCAGGCUUAACACAUGCAAGUCGAGCGGAGAUGAGGUGCUUGCACCUUAUCUUAGCGGCGGACGGGUGAGUAAUGCUUAGGAAUCUGCCUAUUAGUGGGGGACAACAUUCCGAAAGGAAUGCUAAUACCGCAUACGCCCUACGGGGGAAAGCAGGGGAUCUUCGGACCUUGCGCUAAUAGAUGAGCCUAAGUCGGAUUAGCUAGUUGGUGGGGUAAAGGCCUACCAAGGCGACGAUCUGUAGCGGGUCUGAGAGGAUGAUCCGCCACACUGGGACUGAGACGCGGCCCAGACUCCUACGGGAGGUAGCAGUGGGGAAUAUUGGACAAUGGGCGGAAGCCUGAUCCAGCCAUGCCGCGUGUGUGAAGAAGGCCUUUUGGUUGUAAAGCACUUUAAGCGAGGAGGAGGCUACCUGGAUUAAUACUCUAGGAUAGUGGACGUUACUCGCAGAAUAAGCACCGGCUAACUCUGUGCCAGCAGCCGCGGUAA